rnacentral:rRNA from 1 species
CAGCAGCCGCGGUAAUACGGAGGAUGCAAGCGUUAUCCGGAAUCAUUGGGUUUAAAGGGUCCGUAGGCGGUCAGAUAAGUCAGUGGUGAGAGCCCAUCGCUCAACGGUGGAACGGCCAUUGAUACUGUCUGACUUGAAUUAUUAGGAAGUAACUAGAAUAUGUAGUGUAGCGGUGAAAUGCUUAGAGAUUACAUGGAAUACCAAUUGCGAAGGCAGGUUACUACUAAUGGACUGACGCUGAUGGACGAAAGCGUGGGUAGCGAACAGGAUUACAUACCCUGGUGGUCCACGCCGUAAACGAUGGAUACUAGCUGUUGGAAGCAAUUUCAGUGGCUAAGCGAAAGUGAUAAGUAUCCCACCUGGGGAGUACGUUCGCAAGAAUGAAACUCAAAGGAAUUGACGG